rnacentral:rRNA from 1 species
AUACGUAGGGGGCAAGCGUUGUCCGGAAUCACUGGGCGUAAAGGGUGCGUAGGCGGCUUAGCAAGUCCUGUGUGAAAUGCCCCGGCUUAACCGGGGAGGGCCAUGGGAAACUGUUAGGCUCGAGUGCCGGAGAGGGCAGUGGAAUUCCAGGUGUAGCGGCGAAAUGCGUAGAUAUCUGGAGGAACACCAGUGGCGAAGGCGACUGCCUGGACGGUAACUGACGCUGAGGCACGACAGCUGGGGGAGCAAACAGGAUUAGAUACCCUGGUAGUCCCAGCCGUAAACGAUGAGUGCUAGGUGUUGGGGGUAUCGACCCCUCCAGUGCCGCAGUAAACACAAUAAGCACUCCGCCUGGGGAGUACGGCCGCAAGGCUGAA